AUGCAUCUCUGACAGCAGUUAACGUCUGCUGCUAGGGUUUCCACUACAGAUGCAAGAAAAAGAAGGUCCUGGCACUUUCUGUCUGGGUUGUGGCAGCCAAUAUAAAAUGGGGGAAUAAAGAA
rnacentral:snoRNA from 1 species